rnacentral:lncRNA from 1 species
GGGCUUAAAAUAUUAAUUUUUCUGAAUUUAAAGAAUAGAGUUACCUCCCAUAGACCAUACACAAGGUAAUAUCAUUUGAACUUAAUAUUGUGAAUAUUGAGGUUUUCAGGUUUACAACAAAAUAAGAAAGAUUUAUAUGCUCAAAUGUCAAAUUGUUAUAAAAAUUUAUCUAUAUCCUCAUGGAAUGUUCACGGCCUUGGAGACAAACUUAAAGAUGAAUUGUUUAUUGAGAAUUUAAAAGGUGACAUAAACAUACUUUUAGAAACCUGGAAGGGAGAAUCUAAAGAAUUUAAAUUGGAAGGCCAUUGUAUUAUUUCUAAGUCCCGUAAAAAAAGAAAAAAAGCAAGAAGGUAUAGUGGGGGCAUUAUUGUUACUAUAAAAAAGCCAUACUUUAAAGGCAUUACAUAUUUAAAAGAAGCAACAACCUCGCCAAAUAGACUAUGGCUUAAGUUGAAUAAGAACUUUUUUGGAUUUGUACAUGAUAUUUAUCUGUGCGCUCUUUAUAUACCCCCCUUUUCAUCAUCUCACUAUGAUAAUGACUUAGAUUUUUUAGAAAAUGAGAUAUCUACUUUCUCCAUGAAUGGACAGAUUGUAUUGAUUGGAGAUCUAAAUGCUCGAACUGGCCAAAGAGCUGACUUUAUUGUAAAUGAUUCUGAUCACAUCAAUAAUUUUGAUGGUUUUGAUUUACUCCCUGAAAAUUAUAUUACUGAUUCAGAAAUUAAAAGAAACAAUCAAGAUACUUCUGUCAAUACAGUUGGUACAAAGUUAUUAGACUUGUGUUUGUCUUCAAGGCUGCGUUUACUCAAUGGUCGAUUUUUAGGUGACUCAUUGGGAUAUUAUACAUAUAUGUCAAGCAGUGGAUUUAGUACUGUUGAUUAUGCUGUUGUUAGCGAGAGUCUCCUGUCCUCAGUCAAAUAUUUUAAAACAAACGAUUUUACUUACCUAUCAGAUCAUGUUCAAAUAACUUUAUAUAUGAAGUGCUCUAUAAAUAUAGAUAAAGAAAUUGGCCUUGAGGAAAAAGGGUGGCACUGGAUUAAAUCAUAUAAAUGGACAGAAAAUUCUAAACUUAAACUUAUUGAUGCUUUAUUGACUGAAAAUGUAAAGAAUGAGAUAAUAGAGUUUGAAAUGGUUAAUUACGAGGAAAAUCAGGUUGGUGUUGAUGAGGCUACAGAAAAAUUGACAAAAAUUUUAGAUAAUAUUUCAAGCCUUUCUUGUAAAGCAACUCCAAAAACUAAGAGGAGGAAAAAAAAAAAGGAAAUUUAACUAAGUUUGGUCAGACAAUGUUAUAUAUGAAACCAAGCGUCAAAUAAAUAAAAUAGGAAACAAAAUAAGGAAUAAUCCAAAUAAUAAUAGUUUAAAGC